UACGUAGGGUGCGAGCGUUGUCCGGAAUUACUGGGCGUAAAGGGCUCGUAGGCGGCCAACUAAGUCAGACGUGAAAUCCCUCAGCUUAACUGGGGAACUGCGUCCGAUACUGGAUGGCUUGGAUUUGGGAGAGGGAUGCGGAAUUCCAGGUGUAGCGGUGAAAUGCGUAGAUAUCUGGAGGAACACCGGUGGCGAAGGCGGCAUCCUGGACCAAUAUUGACGCUGAGGAGCGAAAGCCAGGGGAGCAAACGGG
rnacentral:rRNA from 1 species